UACGUAGGGCGCAAGCGUUAUCCGGAGUUACUGGGCGUAAAGGGCGUGUAGGCGGUACGUUAAGUCUGGCGUGAAAGCUCUCGGCUAAACCGGGAGAGGUCGUUGGAUACUGGCAAACUAGAGGACGGUAGAGGCGUGUGGAAUUCCGGGUGUAGUGGUGAAAUGCGUAGAGAUCCGGAGGAAUACCAGUGGCGAAGGCGACACGCUGGGCCGUACCUGACGCUAAAGCGCGACAGCAUGGGGAGCAAACGGG
rnacentral:rRNA from 1 species